UACAGAGGUCUCAAGCGUUGUUCGGAUUCAUUGGGCGUAAAGGGUGCGUAGGUGGCGCUGUAAGUCGGGUGUGAAAUUUCGGAGCUUAACUCCGAAACUGCAUUCGAUACUGCGGUGCUUGAGGACUGGAGAGGAGACUGGAAUUCAUGGUGUAGCAGUGAAAUGCGUAGAUAUCGUAAGGAAGACCAGUGGCGAAGGCGGGUCUCUGGACAGUUCCUGACGCUGAGGCACGAAGGUCAGGGGAGCAAACGGGG
rnacentral:rRNA from 1 species